GACGAACGCUGGCGGCGCGCCUAACACAUGCCAGUCGAACGGAGCUGCGAGAAGCUUGCUUUUCUUAGCUUAGUGGCGAACGGGUGAGUAACGCGUGAGUAACCUGCCCUGGAGUGGGGGACAACAGUUGGAAACGACUGCUAAUACCGCAUAAGCCCACGAUCCGGCAUCGGAUUGAGGGAAAAGGAUUUAUUCGCUUCAGGAUGGACUCGCGUCCAAUUAGCUAGUUGGUGAGGUAACGGCCCACCAAGGCGACGAUUGGUAGCCGGACUGAGAGGUUGAACGGCCACAUUGGGACUGAGACACGGCCCAGACUCCUACGGGAGGCAGCAGUGGGGGAUAUGGCACAAUGGGGGAAACCCUGAUGCAGCGACGCCGCGGGGAGGAAGAAGGUUUUCGGAUUGUAAACUCCUGUCGGUAGGGACGAUAAUGACGGUACCUAACAAGAAAGCACCGGCUACUACGUG
rnacentral:rRNA from 1 species